GCUCCGGUGGCUUAAUGGUUAAAGCGUCCGCCUCGAAUGAUGGAGAUGGUGGGUUCGAUCCCCGGUCGAGUCA